AUUGAACGCUGGCGGCAGGCCUAACACAUGCAAGUCGAACGGUAACAGGAAGAGGCUUGCUUCUUUGCUGACGAGUGGCGGCCGGGUGAGUAAGGUCUGGUAAACUGCCUGAUGGAGGGGGAUAACUACUGGAAACGGUAGCGAAUACCGCAUAACGUCGCAAUACCACAGAGGGGGACCUUCGUGCCUCUUGCCAUCCGCUGUUCCCAUAUGGGAGUCGCUGGUACGUUGGGUAACGGCUCACCUAGGCGACGAUCCCUAGCUCGUCUGAGAGGGUGACUAGCCACACGAGAACUGAGACACGGUGCAGACACCGACGGGAGGCAGCAGUGGGGAAUAUUGCACGAGGGGGGAAAGCCGGAUGCAGCCAUGCCGCGUGUAUGAAGAAGGCCUUCGGGUUGUAAAGUACUUUAAGCGGGGAGGAAGGGAGUAAAGUUAAUACCUUAGCUCAUUGACGUUACCCGAAGAAGAAGCACCGGCUAACUACGUG
rnacentral:rRNA from 1 species